GGGAGCUUUACUGGCAGUUCGAGGGGCAGCGAGGGUGAUAGCAUAUUACCUUGUCGGCGACCGGUGCACGGGUGCGUAACGCGUAUGCAACCUACCAUCAACAGGGGGAUAACACUGAGAAAUUCGGUACUAAUACCCCAUAAUAUCUCAUGCGGCAUCGCAUGGGGUUGAAAACUCCGGUGGUUGAUGAUGGGCAUGCGUUGUAUUAGCUGGUUGGUGAGGUAACGGCUCACCAAGGCGACGAUACAUAGGGGGACUGAGAGGUUAACCCCCCACAUUGGUACUGAGACACGGACCAAACUCCUACGGGAGGCAGCAGUGAGGAAUAUUGGUCAAUGGACGCAAGUCUGAACCAGCCAUGCCGCGUGCAGGAUGACGGCUCUAUGAGUUGUAAACUGCUUUUGUACGAGGGUAAACCCCGAUACGUGUAUCGGGUUGAAAGUAUCGUACGAAUAAGGAUCGGCUAACUCCGUGCCAGCAGCCGCGGUAAUACGGAGGAUCCGAGCGUUAUCCGGAUUUAUUGGGUUUAAAGGGAGCGUAGGCGGAUUAUUAAGUCAGUUGUGAAAGUUUGCGGCUCAACCGUAAAAUUGCAGUUGAUACUGGUAGUCUUGAGUGCAGCAGAGGUAGGCGGAAUUCGUGGUGUAGCGGUGAAAUGCUUAGAUAUCACGAAGAACUCCGAUUGCGAAGGCAGCUUACUGGACUGUAACUGACGCUGAUGCUCGAAAGUGUGGGUAUCAAACAGGAUUAGAU
rnacentral:rRNA from 1 species